CCAGACUCCUACGGGAGGCAGCAGUGGGGAAUAUUGCACAAUGGGGGGAACCCUGAUGCAGCGACGCCGCGUGGGUGAAGGAGCACCUCGGUGCGUAAAGCCCUAUCGGCAGGGAAGAAACAGACGGUACCUGACUAAGAAGCCCCGGCUAACUACGUGCCAGCAGCCGCGGUAAUACGUAGGGGGCAAGCGUUAUCCGGAUUUACUGGGUGUAAAGGGAGCGUAGACGGCCGUUCAAGCCAGAUGUGAAAGCCCGGGGCUCAACCCCGGGACUGCAUUUGGAACUGUGCGGCUAGAGUGCAGGAGGGGCAGGCGGAAUUCCUGGUGUAGCGGUGAAAUGCGUAGAUAUCAGGAGGAACACCGGUGGCGAAGGCGGCCUGCUGGACUGCGACUGACGUUGAGGCCCGAAAGCGUGGGGAGCAAACAGGAUUAGAUACCCCGGUACC
rnacentral:rRNA from 1 species